rnacentral:lncRNA from 13 species
CUCUCAACUCCUGUAGAAAGAGAGAGAGAAAGAGAGAGACAGACAAAGAGACACAGAGAGAGAGAGAGAGAGAGAGCAGCCUGUUCGUUGUACACGUUAGGACUGAAUCAGUUGGCCAUCCAGCAGCCCAACUCUCAACUCCUGUAGAAAGAGAGAGAGAAAGAGAGAGACAGACAAAGAGAGACACAGAGAGAGAGAGAGAGAGAGAGAGAGAGAGAGCGAGCAGCCUGUUCGUUGUACACGUUAGGACUGAAUCAGUUGGCCAUCCAGCAGCCAACACUCAACUCCUGUAGAAAGUCAAAUACAUCUUCAAAAUAUCUGGAGAUUUUUAUCAACAGUGUCACCCGGUGUAAAUACACGGUGUGUUUUGUUACGUUUUCAGCAGUCGCCAAAAGGACAAAAAAAAAACAUUUCCCUGGACUUUCCUCUCCUCCUCACGAUGGUCGUAACUUAUUAUUUAUUUNNNNNNNNNNCUCUCAACUCCUGUAGAAAGAGAGAGAGAAAGAGAGAGACAGACAAAGAGACACAGAGAGAGAGAGAGAGAGAGAGCAGCCUGUUCGUUGUACACGUUAGGACUGAAUCAGUUGGCCAUCCAGCAGCCCAACACUCAACUCCUGUAGAAAGUCAAAUACAUCUUCAAAAUAUCUGGAGAUUUUUAUCAACAGUGUCACCCGGUGUAAAUACACGGUGUGUUUUGUUACGUUUUCAGCAGUCGCCAAAAGGACAAAAAAAAAACAUUUCCCUGGACUUUCCUCUCCUCCUCACGAUGGUCGUAACUUAUUAUUUAUUUGUUUAAAAAAAUAAUAAAGUAUAGAAAUUCAUUCAAAAGAGAUGAAAAAAGUUUUCCUGGAAACAUACAACAUGAAGAAGACCAAACUCUCCAUGACCGGAGAACAGAACAGUUCCUGAUCUGCUAAACAGAACAGGUCAGAUUGUUGUUUCCCAUCCAAACAGGAAUUAUGUUAUUUGGACAUCCCCCACAGUGCUUGGUUGUCAGACUGGGUUGACUUGGUUCCUCCUUCAGAAACUCUAGACUCUACUUAGCAGAGUAGAUCUGUGGAAUGAGAGAGACAGACAUCUGAUUCAGUGAUAAUGUCUGAGAAGCUGCUGAUUGGAGGAUAGAUAUAUUGGCGUGGAUGUUAGGCCUGAGACAAAGCCAUUAUAUCCUCCCAACACCAGCUUCGAGGGCAUUAUCAGUUUUAUACAACAGGGUAACCAACAUAUUCAAACAAUGAUUGACCUACAGUACCAGUCAAAAGAUUGGAUACAGCUACCCAUUCAAGGGUUUCUCUUUAUUUUGACUGUUUUCUACAUUGUAGAAUAAUAGUGAAGACAUCAAAACUAUGAAAUAACACAUAUGGAAUCAUAUCGUAACCAAAAAAGUAACAAAUCAAAAUGUAUUUUAUAUUUGAGAUUCUUCAACGUAACCACCCUUUGCCUUGAUGACAGCUUUGCACACCCUUGGCAUUCUCUCAACCAGCUUCAUGAGGUAGUCACCUAGAAUGAAUUUCAAUUAACAGGUGUGCCUUGUUAAAAGUUCAUUUGUGAAAUUACUUUCCUUCUUAAUGUGUUUGUGCCAAUCAGUUGUGUUGUGACAAGGUAGGGGUGGUAUACAGAAGAUAAACCUAUUUGGUAAAAGACCAAGUCCAUAUUAUGGCAAGAACAGCUCAAAUAAGCAAAGAGAAAUGACAGUCCAUCAUUACUUGAAGACAAGAAGGUCAGUCAAUCUGGAAAAUGUUCAAGAACUUUGAAAGUUUCUUCAAGUACAGUCGCAAAAACCAUCAAGCGCUAUGAUGAAACUGGCUCUCAUGAGGACCGCCACAGGAAAGGAAGACCCAGGGUUACCUCUGCUGCAGAGGAUAAAUUCAUUAGAGUUAACUGUCUCUCAUGAGGACCGCCACAGGAAAGGAAGACCCAGGGUUACCUCUGCUAUGAUGAAACUGGCUCUCAUGAGGACCGUCACAGGAAAGGAAGACCCAGGGUUACCUCUGCUAUGAUGAAACUGGCUCUCAUGAGGACCGUCACAGGAAAGGAAGACCCANNNNNNNNNNCAGGUGUGCCUUGUUAAAAGUUCAUUUGUGAAAUUACUUUCCUUCUUAAUGUGUUUGUGCCAAUCAGUUGUGUUGUGACAAGGUAGGGGUGGUAUACAGAAGAUAAACCUAUUUGGUAAAAGACCAAGUCCAUAUUAUGGCAAGAACAGCUCAAAUAAGCAAAGAGAAAUGACAGUCCAUCAUUACUUGAAGACAAGAAGGUCAGUCAAUCUGGAAAAUGUUCAAGAACUUUGAAAGUUUCUUCAAGUACAGUCGCAAAAACCAUCAAGCGCUAUGAUGAAACUGGCUCUCAUGAGGACCGCCACAGGAAAGGAAGACCCAGGGUUACCUCUGCUGCAGAGGAUAAAUUCAUUAGAGUUAACUGUCUCUCAUGAGGACCGCCACAGGAAAGGAAGACCCAGGGUUACCUCUGCUAUGAUGAAACUGGCUCUCAUGAGGACCGUCACAGGAAAGGAAGACCCAGGGUUACCUCUGCUAUGAUGAAACUGGCUCUCAUGAGGACCGUCACAGGAAAGGAAGACCCAG